rnacentral:tRNA from 1 species
GACGGUUUGGCCGAGUGGUCUAAGGCGCCAGAUUUAGGCUCUGGUCCGAAAGGGCGUGGGGUUCAAAUCCCACAGCCGUCA